GACCGAGUCUCCCUCAGGGUGGAUACCUCCUGACCGGGUCCACCGCUACAUUGGUUCAGGAAGUGGAAUGCCCAGAAUCAAGCAAGGUUUAGGCCUUAAUUUGGCUGUUGCCAUAUCAGAAUCAGGGCCUCAGAAAAGUAAACUGUGUUGCUUAAACCUUCUUUACGCUUUUCAAUGCAAAUGUCAGGUGGAUACAGGAUUGGUCCAAUUCUUCACCAUCUAAAGGAUUUGAACAACUAGACACACACACACACACACACACACACACCACUCUAGCAGCAACCCAGCAUUUUGGUCUCAGGAACAUAGUCGUGACUUUCGUCUCCCCAACCUUAUCAUACCCUUGAAUGUGUGACAGAGAUCAUAAACCUUAGCAUAAAAGUACAAUUUUUUUUCUUCCUACCCCUUGAACCACACGUGUCGGUAGACCCUGAUGUUUCUGAGUUCAGGAGGAGUGGGAAAGAGGCAAUCCUCAGAGAAAUGCUCAGAGAGCUACGAAUUGCCACUGGAUGAUUUUCAACAUCAAGGUUCUUGAGCCCAAUCGUAGCCCUCAUGCCAGAUUAAUCUGGAGCCGUGAGGCCGCCAGGGUAGAAAAUCUGGCCCCUGUCGGAAAAGGAUGGGGCGGGAGUGUCCUGGAGAGUCGACUUUAGACUUUGCUGACUCCGUCCACACCUUGCCAUCUUGGAUGUGAUGUGGUAAAAUCCCUGGAACCCACAGUCGUCAUCUGUUCCUGCCGGAACAGAGCUCCGCUAAAACGAAGAUUUGCUGGUCCCUUUGCCUUUCUGUCUACAGCUUGUAGAAAAAUCUUGGUGGACUAUCACUACCAUCCUAGUGUUUCAGCAAUUUCCACCCUGUGUGGGUUAAGCACCCCUGGGCACUCCCACUCAGUUUCAACUGUCCUUCUCCAUGUGUACCCCGUUCGCCCUUGAACCCGUCUCUGGCUCAACCUGAAGGGCCUUAGACUUUACAAAUCCAACCAGCCCCAGCCCUUCCGCGAGGAAGCCGCCUCUCAAAAACCACGCGGGACUGGAGAGUUAUAAAGCAAUUGCAAGGGCAAUAAAAAAGGCAUCUCGGUGGGUCUCCCCAAUUCCUUUCUUGUCCACCCCCCUGUCCCCCAAGUGCCCCCCUCCGCCCGCCCGCCUGGAGAAACAAUCAAACAAAGGCUCAAAAGCCAGGAAAUGUCCAAUUCACUUCCCUUAGAGUUUAUUAAUUGCCCACACCCAUCGUAGGAAACUUGACUGUGUUAAGUGAGGCACGGAGGGCACCUGGAACUGGGAGACGCAGCCCUCCCUCCUGACAGCGGGAAGUCAGCCUCAGAAUCCCCGAGCGCCAAGUUCUGUGGCCUUUAGGAAGCUUUGCAGCGUGGCUAUCGGGCUCUGGCCAGCUGGGGAUCGUCUGUGCCUUCCACCUCCCCGCGCCUUUGUUUGGGGGGCUGGAAAGAUGUUGGGGUUCCUAGAGCAAACGUGAAGUCUGUAGGUCCACGGCUCCCAAAGCUCUUGUUGCCUCCAGCACCGGUAUUUCCAAGGUUUGCUCUGCUUUCAUACAAGGGCCUCUACAGCACAAAGUGCAGAUUAGGGCAUGGAUUUGGGAAAGUGGUCCUAAAGACCUGUUCCACCAUCAGAAUAGGCUAGGUCCACAGAAAAGGACAGAAUUUGCAUGAAUACAUCUAUCACUCCCUGCUUUAGAAAUCAGUACACUAUUCUCUUCAACGUUCUGGAAAUUGUUUUGUUUUGUUUUUUAGGAAGUGUGAUCCAGCUAUCGUGUCCUUAGAAAGUCGGGAUUUAAGUGCGUUUCUCGAGUUGGCUCCCAAACAGCUGGAAAAAGAAACAGCGCACCUGGGGUCAGGCAGGUCAUCACAAUAACAAAAAGGGCGUCUACAAAAUAAAAAGCCCUUUUAUAAAGCAAGGCAAUUCCGGAAAUCCACAGUGAGCCUUCCUGAUGACCAAGUAGCUAGGCCUAUUCUCAGGUUUAAUUGGCAGGCGGUUUAUUGGCGCCUUAUUGGUGGUGAUUGAAAUUUUGCUCCCCAGCCCUUUCUUUUAAAAAUUAGCAUCUCAAGUCGAUUUACCUGAGUCAAUUAUCUUUUUAGGGUCUGGGUUUGGUCAUAAAUUUGAAUAUUCAUUCAACUCACUUUGUAAAUAUUCCCUUUCUAGUCACCCACCCAAAUCUGUUAUUUUCUAAGAAAGUAAUUUCUUGCUUUCUUUUUCUUUUUAAGGAUCCCAUAAAAAGAAAUUGAUUAGGGAGCUAUAUUUAAAUUAAGACAUAUUAAAUCGAUGACAGAUACAUAUCAUGCUGUGUUUAACAAGAGUUGUACAAGGAGGCGGGUUCCAGAUUCCUCACUGCCCUGCUGUAGCAUUAUUCACAUUUUUACAGCCUUUCCUUCAUGCCUCCACCCAUUAAACCAUUACAUUUCAACAAUUCAAUAAAACAAAGCAGUUAUAAUUUUGACAAAAAGCUAUUUUGAAGGGGCUGAAGGUACCCAUUUUAUUGCACAAUAAAAUUGCUAAAACGGUCUAUAUUAUAAACUAGGUUGCACUUAUUUUCUUUAUUCACUUUUUGGGUUUGUUUUGUUUUUGCUGAUAACCUGCAGGAGUAAAAUCAGAGCUGUCAUUACUGCUAGCAUGGAUGUUUAUUGCCAAGGACUGAAAUAAAGGAAAAUCAUUUGAAAUGUCCUUCAAGGAAAUGAAGACAGUGGUGAUAAUUCCCCAAGUGACACUUCCUUUAUAUACUAUCUAUACAGAUGGCACUGUGCUCCACCAACCUUUCCAUGUUUGGCUCAAGAUGUUUAAGUCUCCCAAACAAGUCAUCAAAGAAUUCUCCUCCCCAAAUAUAGAUGUGGAUUUGAUUACUGACACUGUGUGUGUGUGUGUGUGCGCGCGCGCGCGCGCGCGUGCGCGCGUGUGUGUAUCUUUCUACUUAUGCCCUUUGCAUUUUCCUUAGAUUUAAACUUCAUUUACCAUAAAAGAAAAAGGCAUUUGGAA